rnacentral:tRNA from 1 species
GUCGGUGUAGUAUAGUGGUUAGUACGUAUCGUUGUGGCGUUUCGGCUCCGAUGAGUCGGCGGUUCGAUUCCGCCCACCGACA